GUUAAUUAAUUGCGACUUUGAUAUCAUCGCGUACCCGAAACCGUUUGCUUUGUUUUUGUAGGUUUCAAUCAAUAUCAAACAUGUAGGUUUCAUCCCCUCCAACAGAUUUCUCAUUAUGAAAUAUUGCUCAUUAUGAAACAUGUAGGUUUUAUCCCCUCCAACAGAUUUCUCAUUAUGAAAUAUUGCUACAAAGGUUCCUCAUUUCAAUCAAUAUCAAACAUGUAGGUUUCAUCCCCUCCAACAGAUUUCUCAUUAUGAAAUAUUGCUACAAAGGUUCCUCGUAUGGUGAGGAUUACCACAAGAAAAAAAGUUCAAAAUUCCCCAGACUAAUAAUCUUACAAUGUAGUUCCAAAUUCCCCAGACUAAUAAACUUACAAUGUUUUAGGCUCCACCAACACUACCUGUCACCAGAUUGAGCCACA
rnacentral:lncRNA from 1 species